rnacentral:snRNA from 1 species
AUUCUUACCUGGUAAAGGAGAUUCUGUGAUCACAAAGGCAGUUUUCCUAGAGUGAGCCUUGUCUAUUACACUGGUGUUGUGCUGAACCCUGAGAUUCUUCCCCAUAAGAAACUCAACAGCAGAAUUUGUGCUACAGAAUUUGUGCUAGCAAAAAA